rnacentral:rRNA from 1 species
GACGGAGGAUGCAAGUGUUAUCCGGAAUCACUGGGCGUAAAGCGUCUGUAGGUGGUUUAAUAAGUCAACUGUUAAAUCUUGAGGCUCAACUUCAAAAUCGCAGUCGAAACUAUUAGACUAGAGUAUAGUAGGGGUAAAGGGAAUUUCCAGUGGAGCGGUGAAAUUCGUAGAGAUUGGAAAGAACACCAAUGGCGAAAGCACUUUACUGGGCUAUCACUGACACUGAGAGACGAAAGCUAGGGUAGCAAAUGGG